rnacentral:snoRNA from 1 species
UUGCGUAUGAUGGAACUCACAAUACUGCGUUAUCUUACCGAGCCCUGCCCCGGCUUCGGCUUUGGGGCAGCGCUGAGGACAAACCAACAUGUGCCUGACGCAA